UCUAGGUAGUUUAAAAAGGACGUAGCGUUGAAACUGCUGAGGUUAACAAGGUUACCAAGACAU
rnacentral:tRNA from 1 species